AUUUAGCAAACUAAAGCCAUAGACAUGCCACGAUCUACUGGUAGGUCAUAGCUACGGCGAAUAUACUGUCCAUUUUACUACCUAAACUUACCGUACUUCAACUUAAGUUGUUCAAAAGGCUUUACAAAUUGCCUUAAUCAUGUACAGAGCGGUUUUUCGCGCCGGUAGAAGCGUUCGAACAAGCAACGCUAGAAGUUCGAUUGUAAGAAUUGUGCAAUCGAGCCAACACAGCAGACCUCUGAAGAUUUCUUAUGUGCCAAGUUUUGUUUCCGCGAGAUGUUGCUCUUCUGUCCCGGGAUCGUUUCAAAUGAAGCAGUUAGCACCUCCUUCAGAUGCUUUCACGGCAAGACAUAUUGGGCCAAGCGAGGGAGAACAGAAAGAUAUGCUCAAGUUUAUGGGAUUAGAGGAUACGGAAUGGGGACAUAAACAUGAACAUCGAGGAGGAGUUCGUAGCGCCUGGCACCCUACUUGGCGUGAGGGCUGAAGCCUUUGAGAAAUUAAAUUUCAGUUCUGGAAGAGUUAUGUUUACGUUUGGAAUUAUUACUUAUGACUUCAUUAGUAACUAACGUUUUUUUUGAAAAUUAAUAACUUGUCGCAUAUGUGUUAUAGUGUUAUAAAAAUAAAUAUCAAAAUUUUAAA